rnacentral:rRNA from 2 species
AUUAGAUACCCCAGUAGUCAAAGCAGAAAAUGAUGAAUGUCAUAGAUUAGAUAAACAAUUUAUUCUAUAAAUGAAAGUGUAAGCAUUCCACCUCAAGAGUAAUUUGGCAACAUUGGAACUGAAAUCAUUAGACCGUUUCUGAAACCAGUAGUGAAGUAUGUUGUUUAAUUUGAUAAUACGCAAAAAACCUUACCACAAUUUGAAUAUUUAUAUAUAUCUUUAUUGGUUUUUACUAAUAUAUUUGUAAAUAAUCAAAAUGAUGCUUAUACCCCGUUUGUGAAACUAAGCAUCAAAAAAGAUAAUAUAUUUACAAGCGUUGCACGGCUGUCUUCAGUUAAUGUCGUGAGAUUUUGGUUAGUUCCAUUAAAUUAACGUAAACCCUUACUUUAUUUUUAUAUAAAGUAGUUCUCCGCUAUAUUGGAUAUGAUAACAGGGACUAAGACAAG